rnacentral:rRNA from 1 species
AGCGAACGCUGGCGGCAGGCUUAACACAUGCAAGUCGAGCGGGCACUUUCGGGUGUCAGCGGCGGACGGGUGAGUAACGCGUGGGAACGUGCCCUCUGGUUCGGAAUAACUCAGGGAAACUUGAGCUAAUACCGGAUACGCCCUUUUGGGGAAAGGCUUGCUGCCGGAGGAUCGGCCCGCGUCUGAUUAGCUAGUUGGUGAGGUAACGGCUCACCAAGGCGACGAUCAGUAGCUGGUCUGAGAGGAUGAUCAGCCACACUGGGACUGAGACACGGCCCAGACUCCUACGGGAGGCAGCAGUGGGGAAUAUUGGACAAUGGGCGCAAGCCUGAUCCAGCCAUGCCGCGUGAGUGAUGAAGGCCUUAGGGCUGUAAAGCUCUUUUAUCCGGGACGAUAAUGACGGUACCGGAGGAAUAAGCCCCGGCUAACUUCGUG